UUGAAAAAUAUCAAACGGCAAAGAAGGGUGCUUUGACUGUCCCAUCAUCCCCAUAAAACCCAAAGCCAUUUUAAGUUUGAAGCAGAUGAUGGAACUGGAAAACAGGGGUGGGAAAGGCAUAGUAGGGUUUAGGAAGUUUUUGGAAUGAGCGUGUUGGAAAAGAAAAGACUCAACAACCCAUGUUUCUUUGCCAACCCCGCCCAUUCCAAAUAUUUUCUAAGCCUACUGCCUUUCCCUUUCUCUCUUGUUUUUUCACUAGAGAGAGAGAGAGAGAGAGAGAGUGAAAUGAAAAGAGAAGAAGGGAAGAAGGGGGAAAGGCAGUUGCAGUAGGAAGUUAGGGGAAUGGGAGGAUUGGGAAAAACAUGCACCCCAAGUGUUUGUGAAUAUUAUUACACAAGGAACACAAAAAAGGACUUCUUCCCAAACCUCCCAUUCCUAUUAUUUCCUACAGUUGCUCUCUUUCCCUACCUUUUCCCACUUUGAUGCGUCAUUGUUCUCUGUGAGAUUGACUUAUUACAACUGAAAUACUGAUUUGUCUUCUUUUCUGUGUUUUAAAACUAUGUUCUGAUGUUCAUGUUCCGAUCUUUAGGUGGCUUGGGUGAUUCAUUAGUGUUGUUCUCCAUUUUCUUUGCCCUUUUGCUCGUUUUAUGGGCUGAUCCUUCAAAUAAAUACCGAAGCGUCGAUGGAUACCCAGGCCGAUGUUUUAUGAAUUAUACAAGUCACAAGUCAAGUGAGCUUAGCUCUGCCGAUGGUGAUAGAGAGCGAGGCAAUAGCGCAGAAAAUAAUGGGGUUUAAGGCUUUUAAUGCCAUAGGUUCAAACGUAAAUCUGAGAUAUAUUGUUAACAACAAUCAGUGAGAAAUGUCUUUGCAGCUCAGAAUCAGAAGAAUCAUCUCUGAAUACUUUACUAGGGUUUUUUUUUUGCACUUCCAUCAGUUUUCGUUAGUAUUUUAAAGUUUGUGAUUUCUUAUCCCACUCUUAGCGGCGAUUUCUUAUCCAAAGGCUGAUCUCGACUCUGCAUCACCCUUCACCAUAUUAAUGAACCGACCAAAUACCCAUUGGUGGUGGUGGUCAAUAUGGAGAGAGAUCAAAACUAUUUUUCUUUCUCUGGUUAAGGGAUUACGCAGUCCAAAGAUGGCCUAAUAGAAAAUUUUUCAUUGGUUUAA